UACAGAGGGGGGCAAGCGUUGUUCGGAAUUACUGGGCGUAAAGGGCGCGUAGGCGGCCUUCUAAGUCGAACGUGAAAUCCCCGGGCUCAACCCGGGAACUGCGUCCGAUACUGGAUGGCUUGAAUUCGGGAGAGGGAUGCAGAAUUCCAGGUGUAGCGGUGAAAUGCGUAGAUAUCUGGAGGAAUACCGGUGGCGAAGGCGGCAUCCUGGACCGACAUUGACGCUGAUGAGCGAAAGCCAGGGGAGCAAACGGG
rnacentral:rRNA from 1 species